rnacentral:rRNA from 1 species
AUUGAACGCUGGCGGCAUGCCUUACACAUGCAAGUCGAACGGCAGCACGGGGGCAACCCUGGUGGCGAGUGGCGAACGGGUGAGUAACACAUCGGAACGUGCCCAGUAGUGGGGGAUAGCUCGGCGAAAGCCGGAUUAAUACCGCAUACGACCUACGGGUGAAAGCGGGGAUCGCAAGACCUCGCGCUAUUGGAGCGGCCGAUGUCAGAUUAGGUUGUUGGUGGGGUAAAGGCCUACCAAGCCGACGAUCUGUAGCUGGUCUGAGAGGACGACCAGCCACACUGGGACUGAGACACGGCCAGACUCCUACGGGAGGCAGCAGUGGGGAAUUUUGGACAAUGGGCGCAAGCCUGAUCCAGCCAUGCCGCGUGCGGGAAGAAGG